CGGUGAAUACGUUCCCGGACCUUGUACACACCGCCCGUCAAGCCAUGGAAGCUGGGUGUACCUAGAGUCGGUAACCGCAAGGAGCCGCCUAGGGUAAAACUAGUAACUGGGGCU
rnacentral:rRNA from 1 species